GCGAAGAAGUAACUCAACGUGGAUUAACUGGCACGAAGAUUCACGUUGGCUGACACUUCCUCCUUCGAUCUUCCUCUUCUAGACACACGAGGGAAAGAAGCCGGCGAAUAGGGCACAUGCGCGACUUCGACGCGGCAUUGUGAAAUUCACCGGAGUAUAAACGUUCAUCUGCUGGCUGGUGAGUGAAUGGAAGUGAUUGCUGAACGGGUUGAUGCGAAUUGGAUCUUUUUGUGGGUUCGACGUGGAGGGUUCGAAUCCCUUCCUUCUGUGAAAGCUGAUUUGCAUAGCAAGGUUCGUGGAAUAUGAGAACGGUGCUUGGUAAAUGUUGGAUGAUCAUUGAUUCGUCUGUGAUAUAAAAUGUGUUGGUCAGAUAAGCAUAGUGAAGGAUGACGAUAAUUUUCUCUAUGAGAGGACAAAAACAUUUUUCCAUCGAAGAAACUCACGAGUUGCAAGGUGCAUAUUGUCAGCAGGAAGUGCCUUCGAUUACAAAUUCCCAUGUCAUUUGGCCAGAUAGAUGUUUUCGCGUGCGAGGCCACGGGUAUCUUUGAUCACUCGAUAGAAACGAUCUCGUUGCACGUUAGCUGCAUUACUGUGGCACGUUCCAAUGCGUCGCCAUGUUUCCUUGGCACUUGUUCCGUCCCUUUCUUGCGACCGACUGGUGCAAGUGACAUGCACCGACGUAUAUACGAACACGAUUUUGUAGCCAAGCAACUUGACUACGGUCUACUCGAGCUAGUUCCGUUCUAUUGGAACGACGAUAUCGCUACGCUUUUCCUACUUUGUUACUCUCUGCCAGUACAAUUGGUAGUGGCAAUACGAAUCGACAGGAAUUUUUGGCCCCAAAUUGGGGAUUUGUAUUAGUAGAAUAUGAUGUGUAAGGAGGUGGCACACAAAAUCUCUGUGAAACGGUUCUUCUGAAACAACAAAUUGUAAAUAUAUGUUACUCGAAGUUAGCGAACAUGAGUUUUCUUUUUACAUAGUUCACGGGUAAAUCAAGAAUUCUAAUUGCGGAAGUGCUACGCAUUAAAGGCGGAAGAAGCUAUGUAUGUAUGUAUUUAAAAGUUCUCCUUAGAAUGGAACGAUUUAAUUGAGUAGACUAUAGCGUAUAGAAGAGCGUAUUGUGUUUUUGUUCUACCAUCUACGGAAUGCAUUGUGAAUUUCGGUGUUUGUGAAUGGUGACACGCGCAAUAUGUAUUACGUGUUUAUAUAGUAUACAUUAUGCUGAUAGGUGAAAUAAAAAUGACGCAUUUUUAA